rnacentral:rRNA from 1 species
UUGCCCUACGGGGCGCAGCAGUGAGGAAUAUUGGUCAAUGGGCGCGAGCCUGAACCAGCCAAGUCGCGUGAAGGAUGACUGCCCUACGGGUUGUAAACUUCUUUUAUAAAGGAAUAAAGUGAGGCACGUGUGCCUUUUUGUAUGUACUUUAUGAAUAAGCAUAGGCUAACUCCGUGCCAGCAGCCGCGGUAAUACGGAGGAUGCGAGCGUUAUCCGGAUUUAUUGGGUUUAAAGGGUGCGUAGCCGGGCUUUUAAGUCUGCGGUAAAAAUUCGGGGCUCAACCCCGUCCGGCCGUUGAACCUGGG